rnacentral:rRNA from 1 species
UACGUAGGGUGCGAGCGUUAAUCGGAAUUACUGGGCGUAAAGCGUGCGCAGGCGGUUUUGUAAGCCAGAUGUGAAAUCCCCGGGCUUAACCUGGGAAUGGCAUUUGGGACUGCAAGGCUGGAGUACGGCAGAGGAGACUGGAAUUCCUGGUGUAGCAGUGAAAUGCGUAGAUAUCCGCAGGAACAUCCGAGGCGAAAGCGGCUCGCUGGAUCACAACUGACGCUGAGGGACGAAAGCUAGGGGAGCAAACAGG